GAAAAUGAGGAAAAUCUCCUUCUUCCUUCUACUCGAAGCCGACAAGUCUCCAUCACCAUUCCAUUUCAUUUUUUAGGCGGAACUCCAUGGAAUCUGGCAAAUGAGGACUCUAAAAUUAUACAUAUCGCAAGGACUGAGAUUCGACCUUCGGUUUGCGUUGUUUGAGCUUCGUUUGCAAAAUAUAUAGGUCAAAAGAUUGCGGCACCAUUGCAUUCUGUUUUCCGGCAAUAUACAUUGUUUUCAGCAAGUCCAAGGCCCAAGAUGUAGUAGAAUUUUUUACCAUCGCGCACAGUGGUCGGCAGCAGCGAUUCGGUGACCGGCCAGUGAUGCUCUGGCAAGGCUUCAGAGAAAGAAUCUUCUCCUCUUUGUGCUGAUUCCGAUUAUGCAACCUGAUUUUAAGAUGUAAGCCAAUUGUAAAUAAAUUUAAGAUGUUCAAUCUUCUAGCCGAAAGUUUGGAUAGAAGUUGAAUAAGUAUAAUGGCAUAUUAAAUUGGUAUUAGCUAAAUGAAAUAAUUUGAAUUAAUUAGAUAAAA